AACAGGGAAAAGCAAACCUGAUCGAAAGAUGGGGACGCAAAGCCACUGGCCUAAAUCGCAGCCCUAAAAAAGUUGUGACAAGGUAGCAGGGUUACCUCA
rnacentral:ncRNA from 1 species